rnacentral:ncRNA from 1 species
GUAAUAUUUCAUUGAUGUACAUAAUUAGUUACCUAAAUUAAACUACAUAUGGCAGCCCACACGCAUUGUGUAAUGACCUAUUUCUAGCUAAAUUUUAAAAAUCUAGUCUAGGACAUGGCUCAAGAAGACUUACUUUAGUGUUCAAAUAUUCACAACACCAAUGUUUUAUAUUAUGUUAGCUAGGAAACUAGGCCAUAGAAAAUAAGUAUAAAGGGGUGGCAAAAAAUGGUGCCAGCAGUCGCGGUUAUACCAAUACCCCAAGCUAAUUCUAACAAAUCGGGAUAGUUUUUUCAUUUAUAGACUACAAGAUCAACUUUUAGCGUAAAAAACAAAUUUUAACUAAAUCCUAUCCAGUCAUAAUAAAACUAUCCCAACAAACCAUAACCUCAAAACUCGGAUUAGAUACCCGACUACUGUAUGGCUCAACACACAAAAGAAUACUACGAGCGAAAGCUUAAACCUCAAACAAUGUGGCGGUGCUUUACUCCUCAUCAGGGGAUCCUGUGGCUUAAUUCGAUAAUCCACGAAAAAUCUAAGCUAUUCUUGUUCACAGCUUGUGUAUGGCCGUUUAUGCUUGCUCGCAAAAGAAUAAAAAGGAAGCAAUAGGGUUAGCUACCCAAAAAUUCAGGUGACAUACAGCCAAUGAAAAGCAGAUCCAUGGGAUACAAAUAAAUAUACUAUCAAAUUUAGAGCUUUAAACUUUAAUGAAGGAGGACUUGAAAGUAAGGUUUUUCUUUUUAGAAAAAAAAUCUGAAUAAGAACUAAAGUGCGCACAAAUCGCCCGUCACUCCGACAAUAAAGUAGGAUAAGUCGUAACAUAGUAGGGGUAAUGGAAAUUGCCCCUAUCACA